rnacentral:SRP_RNA from 1 species
GCUGGGUGUGGUGGCGUGCGCCUGUAGUCCCAGCUACUCGGGAGGCUGAGGCAGGAGAAUUGCUUGAACCCAGGAGGGCAGAGGUUGCAGUGAGCCAAGAUCACACCACUGCACUCCGGCCUGGUGACAGAGCAAGACUCUGUCUCUC